rnacentral:rRNA from 1 species
UACGUAGGGUGCGGGCGUUAAUCGGAAUUACUGGGCGUAAAGCGUGCGCAGGCGGUUUUGUAAGCCAGAUGUGAAAUCCCCGGGCUUAACCUGGGAAUGGCAUUUGGGACUGCAAGGCUGGAGUGUGGCAGAGGAGACUGGAAUUCCCGGUGUAGCAGUGAAAUGCGUAGAUAUCGGGAGGAAUACCGAUGGCGAAGGCAGGUCUCUGGGCUGACACUGACGCUCAUGCACGAAAGCGUGGGGAGCAAACAGG